GACCGUGUAGCUCAGUUGGAAGAGCAUUUGGCUAGUAUUCCAAAGGUCGUAGGUUCGAAUCCCACCGUGGCCG
rnacentral:tRNA from 1 species